GAUGAACGCUGGCGGCGUGCUUAACACAUGCAAGUCGAACGGAAAGGCCCAAGUUUGCUUGGGUACUCGAGUGGCGAACGGGUGAGUAACACGUGGGUGAUCUGCCCUGCACUUCGGGAUAAGUUUGGGAAACUGGGGCUAAUACCGGAUAGGACGAUGGUCUGGAUGCUAUUGUGGAAAGAUUUUUCGGUGUGGGGUGAGGUCGCGGCCUAUCUGCUUGUUGGUGUGGUGAUGGCCUAUCAAGGCGUUGACGGGUGGACGGCCUGUGAGAGUGUACGGCGACAUUGUGGGUCUGAGACAGCCCAGACUCCUACACGGGGCGGCGGAGUGGGGAAUUGUGCAAUAUGGGCGGACCUGAUACAGCGCCACGGCGUGUGGGGUAUCACCCUUCUGGUUUUGUACUCCUUUCUCGACUGUCAAGACGUUUGUGUGACGGUACCUGGUAAAGAAGCACCGGCUAACUACGUG
rnacentral:rRNA from 1 species